rnacentral:rRNA from 1 species
GACGAACGCUGGCGGCGUGCUUAACACAUGCAAGUCGAACGGAAAGGCCCUGCUUUUGUGGGGUGCUCGAGUGGCGAACGGGUGAGUAACACGUGAGUAACCUGCCCUUGACUUUGGGAUAACUUCAGGAAACUGGGGCUAAUACCGGAUAGGAGCUCCUGCUUCAUGGUGGGGGUUGGAAAGUUUCGGCGGUUGGGGAUGGACUCGCGGCUUAUCAGCUUGUUGGUGGGGUAGUGGCUUACCAAGGCUUUGACGGGUAGCCGGCCUGAGAGGGUGACCGGCGACAGUGGGACUGAGGGACGGCGCAGACGCCUAUGGGAGGGAGCGGGGGGGAAAAUUGCACAAUGGGCGGGAGCCUGAGGCAGCAACGCCGCGUGGGGGAUGAGGGGCGUUGGGUUGUAAACCGCGUUCGCCGGUGACGAAGAGUGAGUGAGGGGGAUGGGGAAAGAAACACCGGCUAAAUACGUG